GUCCAGCGGCAGGUCCAGCGGCAGGUCCAGGGGCAGGUCCAGGGACAGGUCCAGUGUGAGGUCCAGGGACAGGUCCAGCGGCAGGUCCAGCGUCAGGUCCAGGGACAGGUCCAGCGGCAGGUCCAGGGGCAGGUCCAGGGACAGGUCCAGCAUCAGGUCCAGUGUCAGGUCCAGCGUCAGGUCCAGGGACAGGUCCAGGGACAGGUCCAAGGGCAGGUCCAGGGGCAGGUCCAGGGUCAGGUCCAGUGGCAGGUCCAGCGGCAGGUCCAGCGGCAGGUCCAGGGACAGGUCCAGGGGCAGGUCCAGGGGCAGGUCCAGGGACAGGUCCAGUGGCAGGUCCAGCGGCAGGUCCAGGGGCAGGUCCAGGGACAGGUCCAGCAUCAGGUCCAGCGGCAGGUCCAGGGGCAGGUCCAGGGUCAAGUCCAGCGGCAGGUCCAGGGUCAAGUCCAGCGGCAGGUCCAGCAUCAG
rnacentral:lncRNA from 1 species